rnacentral:tRNA from 2 species
GGAGAGGUCGCUUAGUCCGGUCUAGAGCGCGGCUUUGGAAAAGCCGUAUCCGCCUUUGGCGGAUCGAGGGUUCGAAUCCCUCCCUCUCCG